UAAUAAUGACAGUAUCUAUAGAGACGAGCUGUAUAAAACUAUGUCAAAUUUUGUUAUCCUUCCAAGAUUCGUUCUCGAUGGAAAAUGCACACCUCUUCGUUAGAGACGGGGCUACCUUUGAUGUCAAAAAUGUUUUAGACAAGGUGCCGCUCUGUUAUGCGAUCCACGCCAAUACCAGAAGCACAAUAUUUCACAAGUCCUUUUUUUAAACAAACAACCUUAAACUACUUUGAUUUUAAGGAAAUCGAAAAUAAAAAACUAACAAAAAAAUAAAUAUUUGUCAAAAUUUACGAAAAAGUUUGAUUUGUUAUUUUUUUUUUUUGCUUAUAAAUUAUAUUUGUUAUGGUUCGGAAAAUUCAAAGAAAUUCUCGAAGGCGCACCUCAAGCAGACGAAGAAAUGCUCGCAGACAAAGACGAAGACCAAGAAAAGAAUCAAAACUUGAAACUCUCAUGAAACAGCAUGUACGAAAAUUGGGAAAAAGUUUUCGUGUUACAUGAUGAGCAUACCUCUACCUUUACCACCUCUCAAUUGUGUACGCAAAUUGAAAAACCAAGAAGAAAAGUCUCAUGUCAAACAUUCCUGUGAACAUUUCCUCAUUUUCAUCAUCAUCAUUUCUUGUCCUUUUCUCUUUUUUUGUGUGUGUGACAUAAAUUUAAGAUAUUCAUAUUAAAGGAUCAUUGUUCUCAUCUAUAAUCCAA